rnacentral:lncRNA from 1 species
AAAAAUCAUGGAGUUGAGAUAUUUUUUUAUGAUAUCAUUUUAAUAAUGAUAUCUCAUAUAUAUAAUUUUGGUACAAAAGCCAAUCUUUCUACAAAAUUUCAAUGUAUUUAAUAACUCAUUGUACCAAUUUACAAAUAAGCAAAAAAAAAUAAAUUAGAGGCCAAAACAAAAAACAUUACAAGCCCAAAUGAAAAAGAGACCCAGUGGCCCAAAACACUUAAACGAUUUCAGUAAAACUAAAAAUCCUAAUCCCAUUUGCCUCACUGCCACAUUAGAGCUCCUCGUCCCGAGGCCUGACACGCCUUGGUCGCUGUUUCACCAAAAUGGCCAGCGCAGGCCUCUUUUGUCGCUGCUAACCGCGCGCCAAUACCUGCAAAAAGGACGAAGAAAAGACAUAAACAACAAAGAGAUGGCAGUAGAGAAACAAUAGCGAAACAGAAAUAAUGAACAAUGUAAAUAUUAUCGCUACAAAAGCCAUGACAAUCAAUGUAUUCAAAAUACAAGCAAUCAGGUACAAAAAAAAAAGAAAAAAGAGAGAAAUAAAAAAACAAGAUUUUGAAAAGAACACAAAGAUAGUCUUUUAUUUUUUGUUUAAAAAGAUAUAAUAAAUACAUAUAAAAAAAAAGAGGGAGAGGAAGGGUUCUCACUUGUCGUUCCACCUUUUGCCAUCGUCAAGGACCACUUUCAGCACCCUGAAUAUCUCAGAACCCAUUUGGGUUCCGACGAGGGUCGGAUGAACGCAGCGAGGCUGAAAUUUUUCCUUCGCAUUUUCUUUUUCUUUUUUAUUUUUUCGAUUUCAAAAAAAAAUAUUCGGUUUAGAUCUGGGUUUUAAAAAAUAAUUAAAAAAAAGGGACUAAAAGCAUUUUUUAUUUUCCGGCUAGGCGGAGUCAAAGCGGAGCCAUAGCGGAGGCUCGCCGGUACCCAGGCCGGAUGUGGGAAAAACCGAGAGAAAGGGAGAGCUCUCAGAGUUUUUUUUAAACGCAAACAUAAUCAAAAUUUUUAAAG